CAGAGUCGUAAAACACUCCCAAACCCUUUGUAUAUUUACCUGUUGUGUUGCUUUGGCAGGCGGUCCCAGGGCGGGAUCGUGGCCGAAAGGCGUCUGCCGAAGAACUCACAAAAACUCUGUUAUCAUUAUAUUCAGAAUUAUAUCAAAAAUAAGUCA
rnacentral:misc_RNA from 1 species